AACCACAAAAGACUAUAAAACAUACAAAAUACUAAAAACUACAAUUCAUCAUCCACAUCUUUAUUCUCAGCCUCCCCCAUUCUAUUAUCAAUAUUUCGUUGAUAUAUCCAGCUAUAAUCAAGUUUCAUCUACACAAUCAAUCACAUUCAAGUAAUUAGUUCAAGUCACAAAAGUUCGCAUUUCAAAUACCUACACCUAAACAUUUUCAAGUCACUAAUUCACUUCACAAGUUACCAAACUAAACUUAAUUCAAAAUGAAAAAAUUCACGUUUUCAAGUACCUACACUUAAACAUUUUGAAGUCACAAAUUCACUUCUCAAGUGACCACACUUUACUAAAAUCAAAACGCAAGUUCACAUUUCAAGUACCUAAAUUCAAAACAAAAGUUCACUAAUCCAUAAUUCAAGUAACUACACUUAAACAUUUCAAGUCACUAAGUCACUUCACAAGUUACCUAUCUAAACUAAAUUAAAAAUGAAAAAUUCACAUUUCAAGUACCUACACCUAAACAUUUAAGUCACUAAUUCACUUCACAAGUUACCAAACUAAACUAAAUUUAAAAUGAAAAGUCCACAUUUCAAAUACCUACAUCUAAA
rnacentral:lncRNA from 1 species